UACGAAGGGUGCAAGCGUUGUUCGGAAUUAUUGGGCGUAAAGGGUUCGUAGGUGGGAAGAUAAGUCAAGUGUGAAAUCCCCGAGCUUAACUUGGGACGUGCAUUUGAAACUAUUUUUCUUGAGUUUUAGAGAGGGUACUGGAAUUGCUGGUGUAGGAGUGAAAUCCGUAGAGAUCAGCAGGAACACCGGAUGCGAAGGCGAGUACCUGGCUAAACACUGACACUGAGGAACGAAAGCGUGGGGAGCAAAC
rnacentral:rRNA from 1 species